rnacentral:rRNA from 1 species
GAAUAUUGGACAAUGGGUGAAAGCCUGAUCCAGCCAUCCCGCGUGAAGGAUGACGGUCCUAUGGGUUGUAAACUUCUUUUGUACAGGGAUAAACCUACUCUCGUGAGGGUAGCUGAAGGUACUGUAAGAAUAAGGAUCGGCUAACUCCGUGCCAGCAGCCGCGGUAAUACGGAGGAUCCGAGCGUUAUCCGGAAUCAUUGGGUUUAAAGGGUCCGUAGGCGGCUAUAUAAGUCAGCGGUGAAAGUUUUUGGCUUAACCAAAAAAUUGCCGUUGAUACUGUAUGGCUUGAAUAUUUGUGAAGUAACUAGAAUAUGUAGUGUAGCGGUGAAAUGCUUAGAUAUUACAUGGAAUACCAAUUGCGCAGGCAGGUUACUAACAAAUGAUUGACGCUGAUGGACGAAAGCGUGGGUAGCGAAC